CAAACUGUUCUGGGAUUCUAUGAUUUUUAGGAGAGUGGGCUAAAGUCCGAUCCUUUUAACUUUGCAUGUAUGCUCAAGAGCUCCUGAUCAGGGAUAAUCCUUUAAAAAAUUCUCUAGUUUGUGGCUUUCCUAUAGAACUUGAAAUUUUGUUAUUGUUUCCUUAGGACUGGAAACCUAGUUAAAAUUAAAAGCUUUUUGGCUCUAUUAAUUUAUGGUUGCUUGGCGGCAAUAUUUGCAAAUAUAUUCUAGUUGUACAUUACUAAAACACUGACUCGUUUCAUACACCUGUAUGUCUUUCUUGCUUCCAUAAGGACAAUAGUUUCUUUGGCUCAAACAUCCUGUUCAGAGGUUUACAAUAAAACACUUUGCACUUGAAUUGUUUUCCUUCCUGACCCCUCAGCUUUCUGCCAGCUUCUGACUGUGCAUGCAAGUAAGAGCUUUGUACUAUUUGUCCUUGGGGCUGCAUUCACUAAGUGCUCACUGGCUGUACUGGAGCCCGGUAGCUCCCAGUUUGCUUUUUCUUCUUUUUAAUUUUCUCCCUUUGAAGCUGCAUCAUUACUUUCACUUAGGGUCCUAGUGAAAAAUCAGAAUGUUAAUUAAGAAUGGUAACAGUGGGGAAAUCUCUGGAAGACAAAUGAACAGAGACCCAAUUGCCUCUAUCCCAAAGAAGAGCUGUGCUGGGUCAUGCCAAAGAAGGAAAGGGAGACGUGUAAACCCUCUUGUGAUGAAGCAUCAGGAGUUGCUGUUAGGCCACCACAGCUGGAAGAGGCUGCUCCUUGGCAACAGUGUGUUCUUCAGCCUCCUGCAUCCCUGCUGUGGUCAUUAAGGGAAGGCUGUAAUUAGGAACACCAGAACUCAGCAUCAUCAGCAGGCUGAGAGCACCAACAGCCUGGGGGGCAGGCCUGCUCCCACACAUCCUGUGGCUGUGAGGGAUAUACUUCCUGUCCUCCCUGCAUUGAGUGGUGUUCGUUUCCACAGCUGAGUGGACUGCAUGGCGAGAGCUGUCUGACUUGGUUGACACCACUGAAGUGCAAGGAUGACUGGCAUUGCCAACAGAAAUGAAGUUUUCCAGCUCUCGAAUCUAAAGAGAAUUUGGUGAAAGGAAGAUCAGGGCAAUCUGCAGUCAUCAGAAUUUUUGGGGGACUUCUGCAAGUGCAGCAAAUGAUCCAAAGUUCUGCAGCCAUCCAUCCCUACCAGUCAACAGCAAGUUCCUGCUCUUGUCAGAGUUAAAGGCAGGUUUUCCUUUGAACUUGGUUGGUAUAAGAACUGACCCAGUGUGGAGCUGUGGGAAAUAAUUGACUGCAGAAGCAUUUACUUCAUUAAUCUCUGAGCUGAUUUGAACCAAAUUACUCAGGGAUGAUUUCCCUUAAGGUUUGAUCACAGGUAACCUACACAUGAUGAGCCCAGUGAUGUGAGGUGCCCAGACAUCCUAACUCCCAAAGCAGGAGGAGCUCAGCAGAGCUGGCCUUGCAGCAAUCCAUGAGCUGGAAGAUGAGAUCAGUCCAUUCAUACUGGAAGACAAGCUGGUUUAUGCAAGUGAAUUAGUUUGGUUUGAUUUGACAGUGUCAUCUUUCCUCAGUAUCCCUGUUCAAGAGUUUGCUUAAAAAUAAUAUGAAGUAUAAAUUCUGGAACCAUAAUUCACAGAAGUGGAUCGAGAUGUGUUUGUUCAUCUUCUCUGUGGAAGGAUUGAGAGGCCAGAGCCCAGAUGUGCACUGAGGAAGAAAAGUGGUCCAGUAAUUGGAGCUCCUUGGCGGUUGUUUAUGUCCCGUACGAAUGUCCCGGGAUUAUCCAGGUAAUGGAAACACCUCUGCUGGUAAAUAACACCUGAACCCACACACUAAGAGUGGGUGAGUUGGGACUUCUUGCUAGCCUAAUUCCAAGGAAAUCAAAGGCAGUGAGAGGAAAUGAACAUUCUCUAUUGCCCUCUGCUGCAAGUGCCUUCAGGAGGGGCUGGAAGGACUGUCUCUGAGAUGUGGCUGCAUUUGGAUCCCAUGAUUUAUCAGCUGGAAGUACACAGGAAACAAACUCUCAGACCCAGGAGCUUGAAGGCAGGAGUCACAACAAUGCAGCAGUUUGAAGAUUAGUAAAAUAAGGAUGGAAACUAACGAGGAUGCAGCCCAUGGAAAGGAAGAUUACACAGCAGCACUGAGGUGAGCUGGAGCAAAGGGAAUUUGGCUUGUGACUCUCUACGGAGCCCUUCUGUGUGGCAUUGGGUCAGGACUGAGUUUUGAAGAUGCCUGCUGGGAUAUUGCUGCAUCCCUAACGACUGAGGCCUGAAAUAUAAAACCUCUAAUCUCUUUCAUCGCCUGAGCAAGGUUAAAACUGCACUCUGGACGCUCCCCUUCUUUUGUUUUCCAGGCUUUUUCUUGCACCAGGAACUAACAGUGGCUGGAACCACGGUCCUGGUCACAAUCUGGAGUCUUCCCUACUCCCUUUAAACUAUUAAAUUUAAGGAUAUGCUCAUGGGCACUGAGGAGGUCUUCAGUAGUAGUUGUGGACAUGUAACUGAAGCCAAGGGACAGUCAGGGCAGUAGCGCAUGUCAGAGUGAUUUCAGUCUUGUAUCACAUUUCCAAUAAUAAAACACUAAAAAUCA